rnacentral:lncRNA from 1 species
CUUUCAUUACCUUCCUGUCUCCUCCUUGUACCUAUAGACUCAUCAUCUUUCCCCUUCUACUUCUAACUGAAGUUCUACUUUAGAUCUACUCUUGUGAGAUGCUGAAGAAGAGGUCAUGUUUUUAUCGUGGCACAAGUUUUUCCCAGAUCUUCUACCCACUGCUCUUACUGGAAGCAGCUGCUAGGUGUUGAAGGCAGUGUUCCAGGAUCUGUAACGUGAAAGGAGUCGCCUGGAAUGGAAACUAGACUGUCUGUCAAUACCCUUUCCUCUGACAGUGAUCUUGUGCCGACUCAGUUCAGCUUCCAGGACCGUGACAGUUGGCAGUCUCGCAGAACACCAUUUCCAUGGCUUUAAACUACACUGUUGUUUUCAUAGCCAGAAGAAAGUCUUUCUUUCCUUAGAGAAGGUUUGUAGGAGGUAACUCCAUUCAGAUUAAGUUUCAGUUUACUUAAAGAGGAUGUGUCAGGAUC